CUUAAAGCGUACAGAAACAC
rnacentral:miRNA from 1 species